AGAUGUGUUUUAUGUUGCUCUGUGUAAAAGAGAGAAAUGUAACUCUAGUGUAAUUCAAACGAGAAUAAAUCCUUAGUUGUUUAUCCUGUGUGGCAACUUUUACUGUCAAUUCCUAAACGAAGACAGAAGGAUUGUUGCGCCGAAACAACACAGCUAUCCUGAUAUCCUUGAGCGAUCAGGCUGGCGGGAGAGCUUGCUGGAUGUCCUGGAAUAGGAGUUCUGAGGGUCACAGUUUGGUGAACAUCUGCAGCACGAUUUGGAUUUACAAACUGUAACCUCAGCCAUGCUCAACUCCAGUUAGCCCGUACAUCUGAACGGGGCCUAUCAUAGUUUGUACAACCAGUUUAUUUGGACAGGAAACUCAGCACUGAAUAGAAGGCAAUUUCACAUGACCACAAGUGAUCUUGUGAAAACGUGAAAAGUGACAGCAUGUGACAGGAACAUGGCAAGUGACAGGAAAGAAAAUGGUGGUUAUGAACACGACUAUACAUAUCCAAAUUCAAGUGGCAAUAUGCUUCCAAAGUCUUUUUUAGGUUUACAGUGCUAGGAAGACGUCGUUUGACCGAAGUUAUGCAAAAGUCUAAAAAAACUCAGGGGUUCUUUAAAAAUGAGAGAAAGAAAGAAACCCACACCAUUUGUAUUUUGGUUUAUGAGACUUCACACAUUAAUGUCAUCUUGUCAAGUUUCUCUCCAGGAUUUGGAGGGCUGUAAGAUAGUUUUAAACACUGACAGCUGAGUUCUUCAUAAUUUCAGAUAGUAGGGCUUUGAGAAAAAUGUUUCAGAGGAUUAGAGUUGUGAUGAAGUCAUUAAAGGUGGCAACCUUGGGUGUGACAAGAUCUCCAUGAUGCCACAUCAGCCCAAUGACAGAGAGUUUAGGUAGUGUUGGUGAAUGAAUAAUUGUAUCCAACCAAUGAAGUAACCAGAACAAAAUUCUCCACUCCAAACACCCUUUAUCUUGUGUAUGCCAAUAACUAUGAAGGGCCAUUCAUUUCAGCAACUCAAAGCAACAGCCAAAAAGCUGACCUGCUGAAACACAGAGCGUUGCCAUUCUGUUACAACUCCUAUUUAGCAUGCCUUAAUGAGUUUAAUUCUGUAUCAGCCAUGUGAAAGCAGCAAGAGCUUAAAGGAUAACAUCAGCCUGCAAUGAAAGAAGCCAGCUGCUGGCAAAAGGCAUAAUUUAUGUUAUAUUAUGUUAUUUUAAGAUUUAUAUAUUGCCAUUCUGCAAGGAGAGCACCCAAGGUGCUGAACAGCAAUAAAAUAAUACUGAAGACAUUAAAAAGGAAAUAUUUUGAAUUUAACUUUUUAAAUACUUUGGUUUCACUACAAGUUGGCAACUUAUAUGACGUCCGGGGAACAUCCAAUAUAGGAAUGAAGAUUCAUUUAAAAAACACACACACCUUCUCAUCAUAUUUACUUUAUUCCUCAAAUCUUUAUAAAGAGACUCUGGAUUGCUCACAUUGGAUAUUACUCCUUGUUUUAAGUUUAUUUCCAAAUAAAAUGUGUAUGAAACAACCCAUUACUUGAA